rnacentral:rRNA from 1 species
CAAGAAUGAACAUAAUAGUUGUUGCAGUUAAAAAGCUCGUAGCCGAAUUUGUUGUUGCGCGCACGAGCGCCUCACCUUUUUUUGUGUGUGGGUGCUGGUGGUGCAUCUUUUUACUGUGGCGUGGUUGAGCAGCGUUGCUACUAAGCGGAUUCAGUUCCGCCCAAGACGCCGCGAUGCCUCUUCCCUUUUUUGUGGGAGAAAGAGCGCCGCACGUUUACUGUGUCCAAAUCAGAGUGCUCAAAGCAGGCCUUUUUGAUAGCUUCUGAAUGUUCUACAUGGGAUGAUGAGAUACGAUUCGUGUUCUUUUCGGUCAUUUAGGGACGCGAUUAAUAGUUAACAGGAGCGGUUGGCGCUGUUUGAACUCUGAAGUGAGAGGUGAAAUUCUUGAAUCCUCGGAUGGCAAACAAAAGCGAAAGCAUUCAGCGAGCACGUCUCCAUUGG